rnacentral:rRNA from 1 species
GUGUCAGCCGCCGCGGUAAUACGGAGGGUGCGAGCGUUGUCCGGAAUCAUUGGGUGUAAAGGGUGCGUAGGCGGGCUGCUAAGUCUGGGGUGAAAUCCUGCCGCUUAACGGUAGAAUGGCCCCCGAUACUGGCAGUCUUGAGUACAGAAGAGGUCGGUGGAAUUCGUAGUGUAGCGGUGAAAUGCAUAGAUAUUACGAAGAACACCAGUGGCGAAGGCGGCCGGCUGGUCUGUAACUGACGCUGAGGCACGAAAGCGUGGGGAGCGAACAGGAUUAGAUACCCUGGUAGUCCACGCUGUAAACGAUGUAUGCUAGGUGUCGGCCCUUCGGGGUCGGUGCUGCAGUUAACGCAGUAAGCAUACCACCUGGGGAGUACGUCGGCAACGAUGAAACUUAAAUGAAUUGACGGGG